CUGAGUAAAAGGUCUUACAAGAUGGAUUUUUCUGGAGUUCCUUCACCUGGAAUGGACUAGGAGUCUACAAACUUACCCGAUGCAUGGCGUGCAAAUAGCUCAGACAAUGUUGCAGAGCUGUCUGACCUCAGCCUCUGGGGUGAGGGGCGUAAUCUACACAGCAACAGCGCCGGGACACCAAAAAGCGCCAAGAGGCUGGGACUAGCCUGAGCGCCGGCGAUAGGCUGAGCAAAGUUUAAACCACGCUCAGCCUCUGCUGUGACAGGCCAACAAGUAAACAGCUGUUCGUAUACGUCUGUCACCGUAUAAGAACAGCUGUUUACCAACAUCCUGCCAGUUCUCUGUUCUAUCCUGCGAGGUGAUACAGAGAACUCGUAUAUACGAAAAUUGCAUUUACCAUUUAUUGCUUGAGUUUAAUAAAAAUACUUAAAGUAUAUUCGGUGACUCUGAAUCACAUUUUGUCCUGAUACCAGAUUGAAUUGACGCAAAUCCCUUAUAUGGUGACCCCGACGUGAUCUGGUGAAGGACCUCGCUGGACAUUGGAGUGCCAGCCAAUUGACCAUUGCUGUCGUCAGAUGGGUGUGUCUCACAACUCCAGACCGGUCAACUAAAAAGACUGCCCCACCACCACAGACUGCCCCUCCACCAUAGAAAGCACUGAGCUAGGCUGAAACACCUGCAUUUUGGAGCUGCCUUACUCAAGAAAGCAAAAAAGAGACCAAGUUUGUAUGCAGCUUUAUUAACUGAAUGAUUUUAUUUCUUGUUUUACAUUGUUUGCAAACUGAUAUGUGACAGGUAUUAAUGUCAAAAUAACAUGGAAAAACAUGCAUACCUGUUUUUAGCUAAAAAGGUGGGGAUCAAUGACGGUUUGCCACUGCCCACAGGUCAGCUGUUUGUUCACCCACCGGCAAUUGCUAAUAACCCAUCCGACUGACUGUAUGUGAUAAAGUGAAAAUCUGAGGCCAGCACCCAACCCUAGCCGUAAAUACAGAAAACGCACUACAGUCAAACAAGGCAGUACGCUUUUUUUGAUACAGGGUGCAGGAUUUUUUUUGCUGCCUGGUUUAGAUAUGUUUCUGCUUAUAAUUUUCAUUUUUGUAGGCUAUUUGUUAGUCAACUUGUCUAUAAUUAGAUACAUGUAGCUUUUCUUUUGGCAUUAUAUGGGGCCCUAGAAGAUAAAUAAACCCUUGCUCAGCAGAAUAAUGUAUCCUAAUAGAUCGAUAGAACGAAUGCUUCAAUCUAGUUGACAUCAAGUUUUCGCUGUCAUCUUUCGCAAAGCAAAGAUGUUUUGGGACUGGGAAGAAAAUACAAUAACAAACAAAGUCUAUAUUUUCUGUACAAAAUGUUCAAAUUACAUAAAUUUUACUGGUUGUAAGGAAGACCUCCCGGGUGGCGCAGUGGUCUAGGGCACUGCAUUGCAGUGCUAGCUGCACCACCAGAGUCGCUGGGUUCGCGCCCAGGCUCUGUGGCAGCCGGCCGCAACCGGGAGGCCCGUGGGGCGACGCACAAUUGGCAUAGCGUCGUCCGGGUUAGGGAGGGUUUGGCCGGUAGGGAUAUCCUUGUCUCAGUAUGUAAAAAUGUAAUAAAAUGUAUGCACUCUACUGUAAGUCGCUCUGGAUAAGAGCGUCUGCUAAAUGACUAAAAUGUAAAUGUAAAAUGAAAAGAAAGCUGUGAAAACGAGCCAACUUGUUUCUGAUAAAAUAUGCAUUGAAGCCGAACUGAAAUCUUAUGUGGUUGAAAUACUAUCUAUUAGCUGUUAUGAUGAAGACAGUACCUUUACAGAUGGUAUCUAACUGAGCAUUGCAUUCUCUUCUCUCAAGAUGCAUAAAUAAAUAAAUCCCAUCUCUCCA